rnacentral:lncRNA from 1 species
AGGAAAGCGGCGGCGGUGGCGGCUUCAACAGCAGCUCUUGCCCUUAAGGAACAAUAACUGUCCAUUUGGCUAUGAGCGAAUCAUCCUGCUUGCUUUUAUAAGCAUUUAUCCUGAAAAGAAAUUUAAAGCAGACAUCCCAUAAAUGGAGUCUGGGACAGAAACCUACACAUUGGGGCUUGGUGGCAUGCAUGUUUAGUCCCAGCUACACAGCAGGGAGGCUGAGGCUGAAGGAAUACUUGAGCCCAGGAAUUCAAGACUAGCCUGCACAACAUAGUGAGACCCUGACUUUAAAAUAAAUUUAAAAAAAUUAAAAGCAACAAGACUUUCUGCUUGUAUAUGAUGAUGUUAGUAUGCUGACUUACAAGGUUAGAUCAUUUUGAUAUGUGUGAUGUAGGUUUUCAAAGCUGGCACUGUUUUAUGCUUCAAAUAUUAUUUUUAUUCAUUGGUUCUCAUGGGAUUUCAUCACUAAGCUGUAAAUCAAUAAUCAUAAUGUUGAGGGGAGGGGAUUACAAAAUAGCUCUUCAAAAUCAUCUUUGCAUUUCUCAAUAAACAGCAUUCCCUUUUGGACUACAGUGAAAAAUAUUGAGCUUUGUUUACUUUGAAAAUGAGUCUUAGUCUAUGAAUGCCUGGGUAGGGUCAAGAAUGAAAAAUGAGAGGAAGAGAGAAGCAUCAGGAAGAUAAAAUGAUCAAUCUCACAAAACUUGCUAUUUUUAGAAAGCAUCAUUCUAAUUUUGAAACCAAAAAAAUGGGGAAAAACAGAGUAAUGGAAUAAUAGAAUGCCUCAUGUACAAAAGCAACAAUUUCAGAGAUGAUCUAAAACAACUUAUUAGUUAUAGGAAGAAAUAUACCUGAAAAGGGCAAAAAUAAGUUGGGUUUGGCCUCUUGUCACUGAAAUUAUCUACUAAAUCUAACAGCAUCUAUGUUCCUUUAGCUGUUGUGUAUAUUGUACACAAAUGUGAAACCAUAACUCAUAUUUUACCUAUAACAAUUUGCAAUAAAUAACUAAUUAUGAAGGCUUGCAUGUCAUUUUUGAAGACCUUGUAAGUCUAAUUCAAAGGAAUUUUCCAAGAAAAAUAUUGGGAGGUAGGGUUAUACAUUGACAUAUAUAAUUAUACACCUAUGCCAUAUAUAUGUAUGUAUGUGAAUAAUGAACACACAUAGGUAAUUUGAGAUUGAUUCCUCUAAAAAACUGUGCUCACCAGGUGUGGUGGCUCAUGACUGUAUCCCUAGCGCUUUGGGAGGCUGAGCCAGGCAGAUCACUUGAGGUCAGGAGUUUGAAACUAGCCUGGCCAACAUGGUGAAAACCCAUAUCAAGGGUGUGGUGGCAUGCACCUGUAAUCCCAACUUCUUGGGAUGCUGAGGCAGGAGAAUUGCUUGAAUGCAGGAGGUGGAGAUUGCAGUGAGCCGAGAACGCAUCACUGCACUCUAGCCUGAGCAACAGAGCAAGACUCAGUCUCCAAAAAAUAAUAAUAAUAGUAAUAAUAAUAAUACUCGGAGCUUACUAAUUUUUAUAGGUUUCUUAAAAAAUAGUUCUAAGUUUUAGAACUCCAUGUUUUAUGUGAAUACUGAGUUAUUUUAUCUCUAUUUAUUAGACUUUCUUUUCCCAUUUAAUUCCUUUAGCAUUCUUGCCAAAAAGCAACAUGCUAUAUAAAUGAGGGUCAGUGUAUGUCCUCUUUAUGCAUUGCUAAUUUGCCUCUAUGUAUAAUAAUAACAGGACCUCUGAAUUCCUGAUGUUUACAGUAAAUUCUGGGAUUACACAACCUCCUGUAUAUACAGUUCUUUUUCAAUAUCAUGUGUCUCUUCUUGGUCCUUCACAUUUCCAGAUAAUACUUAGAUAACACUUCUCCAUUUCUGCUUAAAAAUCCUAUCAGUAUAAUGAGAAAAUUUGCAUUAAAUAUAUCAACCAAUUUGAGAAGGUUUUGUAUUUAACAACAUUAAGUCGUUUAAUCCAUGCACGUGGUAUAUAUUCCAAUUUAUCUCAGUCUUCUUAUUUUCUUUUUUUUAUUAUUAUACUUUAAGUUAAAGGGUACAUGUGCACAACGUGCAGGUUUGUUACAUAGGUAUACAUGUGCCAUGUUGGUCUGCUGCACUCAUCAACUCGUCAUUUACAUUAGGUAUUUCUCCUAAUGCUAUCCCUCCCUAGCUCCCCACCUCCCAACAGGCCCUGGUGUGUGAUGUUCCUCGCCCUGUGACCAUGUGUUCUCAUUGUUCAGCUCCCACCUAUGAGUGAGAAUAUGCGGUGUUUGGUUUUCUGUCCUUGUGAUAGUUUACUUAGAAUGAUGAUCUCCAGCUUCAUCCAUGUCACUGUAAAGGACAUGAACUCAUCCUUUUUAAUUCAGCGUUCUUCUUUUCUUAAAAUCGUGCUAUGUGGAUUUCAGUGGUGAGAUCUUGGAUAAUUUUUUUUUCUUUUAAAUAUUCUGGCCAGUCAUGGUGGCUCAUGCCCAGCACUUUGGGAGCUGAAGUGUGUGCAUCACCUGAGGUCAGGAGUUCAAGGCCAGCCUGGGCAACAUGAUGAAAGCCCGUAUCUACUAAAAAUACAAAAAUUAUCUGAGCACGGUGGUGCAUGCCUGUAAUCCCAACUACUCAAGAGGCUGAGGCAGGAGAAUUGCUUGAGCCCAGGAGGUGAAGAUUGCAGUGAGCUGAGGUUGUGCCAUUGCACUCCAGCCUAGGCAAAAGAGCAUGGCUCUGUC